rnacentral:lncRNA from 1 species
UUCUUGGUUGUUAUUAGCAGCUCAUCUCUCAUUUCCACUAAAGUGCUGCUAUGUUUGCCCUAGAACCUCUAUAGAAAGGUGAAACACUAUUUUUUAUGUGGAAAACAGGGUGUACAUGGGGGUUUGGAUGUUAAUUUGGGGCCAUAAGGCUAACUCUACCCUUGGCAAUUGAACAGAAACCAUGAGUUGUAGCAAUCUGGGGG